rnacentral:rRNA from 1 species
GUACACGCUGUGACUAGCAUAUCAAUAAGCGGAGGAAAAGAAACUAACAAGGAUUCCCCUAGUAACGGCGAGUGAAGCGGGAAGAGCUCAAAUUUGAAAUCUUAAAGGGUUUCCCUUUACGAAUUGUAGUUUAAAGAAGUGUUUUCUGUUGAGGUUUUGGUAAAAGUUCUUUGGAAUAGGACAUCAUAGAGGGUGAGAAUCCCGUAUUUGACCUUUACUUUCAACUUUGUGAUACACUUUCGAAGAGUCGGAUUGUUUGGGAAUGCAGUCCAAAAUGAGUGGUAAAUUUCAUCUAAAGCUAAAUAUUGGCGAGAGACCGAUAGCGAACAAGUAUCGUGAGGGAAAGAUGAAAAGAACUUUGAAAAGAGAGUUAAACAGUACGUGAAAUUGUCAAAAGGGAAGCGUUUGACACCAGUGUUGUUUUUCUGAAAAUCAAUUAAAGAACUGUUUAUGCUAAGCUGUUUAGACUUUAUCAGCUAACUGUUUAGUUUUGAGCUUUUCUUUAAUGCACUUUUCAGUUAACAAGUCAACAUCAAUUUCUUUUGCUGUAAAAAAGCUUGAGGAAGGUGGCUUGAGAUUCGUCUUAAGUGUUUAUAGCCUCUUGCCUAUGCAGUCGGAGAGAUUGAGGUCUGCAGCGUAGAUCCUUCGGGGCUAAAUGCAUUUGUGCUAAGUUAUAGCAUUUUAUAGACAACUUGUUGACUAUGAUUUGUCUUGUAGCUUACUCGCUUAUGUUAUUUUACCUACGCUUAGGAUGUUGAUAUGCAUGACUGAUAU